GAAGUUAUAGUUUAAUUUGAUUUAAAAUAUUACAUUGUCGAAGUAAAGAUGUGAGUUUAAUUCUCAUUAAUUUCG
rfam:Theileria orientalis strain Shintoku apicoplast DNA, partial genome.